rnacentral:rRNA from 1 species
GAUGAACGCUGGCGGCGUGCCUAAUACAUGCAAGUCGAGCGAACAGACGAGGAGCUUGCUCCUCUGACGGUAGCGGCGGACGGGUGAGUAACACGUGGAUAACCUACCUAUAAGACUGGGAGAACUUCGGGAAACCGGAGCUAAUACCGGAUAAUAUAUUGAACCGCAUGGUUCAAUAGUUAAAGACGGUUUUGCUGUCACUUAUAGAUGGAUCCGCGCCGCAUUAGCUAGUUGGUAAGGUAACGGCUUACCAAGGCAACGAUGCGUAGCCGACCUGAGAGGGUGAUCAGCCACACUGGAACUGAGACACGGUCCAGACUCCUACGGGAGGCAGCAGUAGGGAAUCUUCCGCAAUGGGCGCAAGCCUGACGGAGCAACGCCGCGUGAGUGAUGAAGGUCUUCGGAUCGUAAAACUCUGUUAUUAGGGAAGAACAAAUGUGUAAGUAACUAUGCACGUCUUGACGGUACCUAAUCAGAAAGCCACGGCUAACUACGUG